CAUCGCUUCAGGGCGGGGCGAAAUUCCCCACCGGUGGUAAAUUCAGCUUACAUGCGCAAUGACUGAAUCAGCCCACGAGCCUGUCAAUUUUUAUUAAAAGAUUGACUCGCAGAUUUGGUGAGAAACCAAAGCCGACGGUAUAGUCCGGAUGAAAGAAGACGACG
rnacentral:ncRNA from 2 species